rnacentral:rRNA from 1 species
UACGAAGGGGGCUAGCGUUGCUCGGAAUCACUGGGCGUAAAGCGCACGUAGGCGGAUUGUUAAGUCAGGGGUGAAAUCCUGGAGCUCAACUCCAGAACUGCCUUUGAUACUGGCGAUCUUGAGUCCGGGAGAGGUGAGUGGAACUGCGAGUGUAGAGGUGAAAUUCGUAGAUAUUGGGAAGAACACCGGUGGCGAAGGCGGCUAUCUGGACCGACAUUGACGCUGAGGCGCGAAAGCGUGGGGAGCAAACAGGG